CCCCAUCUGUGUUGCUGUUUGUAA
rnacentral:piRNA from 1 species